rnacentral:rRNA from 1 species
AUUGAACGCUGGCGGCAUGCCUUACACAUGCAAGUCGAACGGCAGCACGGGAGCAAUCCUGGUGGCGAGUGGCGAACGGGUGAGUAAUACAUCGGAACGUGCCCAGUUGUGGGGGAUAGCCCGGCGAAAGCCGGAUUAAUACCGCAUACGACCUACGGGUGAAAGCGGGGGAUCGCAAGACCUCGCGCAAUUGGAGCGGCCGAUGGCAGAUUAGCUUGUUGGUGGGGUAAAAGCCUACCAAGCGACGAUCUGUAGCUGGUCUGAGAGGACGACCAGCCACACUGGGACUGAGACACGGCCCAGACUCCUACGGGAGGCAGCAGUGGGGAAUUUUGGACAAUGGGCGCAAGCCUGAUCCAGCCAUGCCGCGUGUGGGAAGAAGGCCU